UACGGAGGAUGCAAGCGUUGUUCGGAGUUACUGGGCGUAAAGGGUGUGUAGGCGGUUGUUUAAGUUUGGUGUGAAAUCUCCCGGCUCAACUGGGAGGGUGCGCCGAAUACUGAAUGACUAGAGUGCGGGAGAGGAAAGUGGAAUUCCUGGUGUAGCGGUGAAAUGCGUAGAUAUCAGGAGGAACACCGGUGGUGUAGACGGCUAUCUGGACAGUAACUGACGCUGAGACACGAAAGCGUGGGGAGCAAACAGG
rnacentral:rRNA from 1 species